rnacentral:rRNA from 1 species
CAGCAGCCGCGGUAAUACCGGCGGCCCGAGUGGCGGUCACUAUUAUUGGGCUUAAAGCGUCCGUAGCCGGGGUGGGAAGUCCUCCGGGAAAUCUGGCCGCUUAACGGUCAGAAUGCCGGAGGAUACUCCCAGCCUAGGGAGCGGGAGAGGCCGAGGGUAUUCCCGGAGGAGGGGUGAAAUCCUAUAAUCCCGGGAGGACCACCUGUGGCGAAGGCGCUCGGCUGGAACGCGUCCGACGGUGAGGGACGAAGGCCAGGGGAGCAAACCGGAUUAGAUACCCGGGUAGUCCUGGCUGUAAACGAUGCGGACUUUGUGUCGGACAAGCUAUGAGCUUGUCCGGUGCCGGAGGGAAACCGUUAAGUCCGCCGCCUGGGGAGUACGGCCGCAAGGCUGAAACUUAAAGGAAUUGGCGGG